CAGUUUUACAGGCACCAAAGGUAAGAAACACAGCAUUUAGACUUCAAUCUAAUUUUUUUUCCCACCUGUUGUGAACUUUUAAGUGAAAUAUGGAGAAUUACGUUUCCUUUGUCAGGAAUGUCUGUGUCACAACUAUGUUCCUAUAUAUCCCAGUCCUAAACUUGAUUUUCAAUUAGCUGAAUCCUUUUGUUGAUAUAAUUUUCCAAUGAAAUGCACAUUAAGUGGGGGAGGGGGAUUCACAUCUCAUGCUAAAUCAAGGGUGGCUGGCUGGUCAUGUUAUCACUUUGAUCCUGAGUUUGAAUCCAGGCUACUGCCAUCACCAGUUCUGCUUGAGGAUUGGGCUAGGACAUAAUAAUCUUUAUUUCUGAGGAAUGUCUAAAACUUGAACUUUCCUUGAAAGUAAUUUUUUUAGUAAGCUUCACUGGUGUAAUGUAUAUUUUGUUGUUAUUCACAUCUUUUAAUGGAAGGCCAUUACAAUUUUGUGUAUAAAUGCAGUUCUGUUUUCAAACAAACACAUUAUAUGACUUAAGGUUUGUCUCUUACUCAUCUAUUUAAAGACAGCAGACCUUGCAUUUAUUUGUUGUGCCAAUGCAGUAACAUAAAAUUUUAGUAAGCUUAUUGUUGGCUACGCUGUAUCCUGUGUGUCAGAAUAUAUCACAUUAUAUAAAAGAUUCAUAAUAAAAGAGCAAAUGACCAUCACAUCUCUUAAGCAAAAAAAAAUUUAUAAAGGCAAUGUGGAAUUGGCAUAGAGAACAAAAAAUAUAUCUGCUUGGCCCAGAACCUGAUUAUCAUUUGAAAUGGACAGGUCACACACAUAAAAAAAACCAAGCUGUGAUGCUGUUGGUUUAUAAAGUAGAUUAAAAAAAAACAA